UUUAAUCAGCAGUAACAUUCUCACUCAGGCUGUUGUGGGAGAACAAACUGUAGGGAGGGGAGAGUGGGGGCAGGAGAUGGUUGGGAAGCUAGUGCAGUCGGCCAGGCAAGGAGCAAUAGUGACUUGGCCUGGGUGGGUCACUUUGUGAUGAGGAUUAAUGAAAAGGCCAGACUGGGGUAUUUUUUGAAGCUAGAGUUUGAUAAUUGGUUGUGAGGGGUGGGAGAGAGAGAUGAAUCCUGGCCAUUUAACUGCAGUGAAAAGACUGGAGGAAUAGUUGGACAAGCGGAGGGACGGGGCAUACGAGUUCUGUUUUGAACAUGACAGGCCUCCGAGGUGUCCACUAGGCAGACGGGAUGUCAGGGCAGGGUUACCACCAUGUAGAUGGUCACUGCUAAGAGCUGGGCACUCCUCCAAACACAUACAUUAAAUCAUUUAGUCUUCUCAGUAACCUAUGAGGCGAGAGCUGUAGCUAUCCCUGUCCAUAGGGGGCGUAUCCUGUGUGCCAUUUCAGAUGCCCGCGGCCUCACCUCUUGUUCCAGCCAUUGCCCCAGUGACCAGUUUUGCACAGGUCUUGACCAGUGCCGUGUAAAUGUCGCCUGGCAGGGCCUCUCCACAUGCCUCUCGCCCAACACCAUGAUGGGGGGACACCCAUGGAACCUGCUUGGCAUUAACACAUGAGCCGCCCAGAAGUGAAGGGGAGCUAACAUUCCAUGGGAUGACUCGAGAGGAGCCAAUGGAUAACUGUCCCCCUUCUUCCAGCCCAGAACCAUAUCCUGCUCCACAAGCCUCGUCCUUGGCAAGAAGUUGCACCUGCCCAGAGAGAAAACCUUUUGAAACUGGCACAAAGGCACUGGAGAGACUGGCAGGGCCCCCUACUUGACGAUCUGGCUCAUCCAUCUGCACACUGACCACGCUAAGAGCUGUCUGCAGUGAUGGAAACCUUCUCUAGCUGUGCUGUCCUCUAUAGUGGCACCAGCUGCCUGUGGC
rnacentral:lncRNA from 10 species